GUGUGCGUGUUCCAAGCUCAAGAGUACUAGAAUCUCUACGCAGAGUCAAUGCAGAAGGAGUUCACAUGAGACGUUUAAGGCUGCGUGUGUCAAGGCGAAGGCAGUAUUCUGUACCUGGCCCGAAUUCCUUGUGGCAUAUAGAUGGGAAUCAUAAGCUCAUCAGGUGGAGAUUUGUUAUCCAUGGAGGGGUGGACGGAUUCAGUCGUCUUGUGGUCUACCUCAUUGUGGCUGGCAAUAAUAGAGCCAGUACGGUCUUACGGAGCUUCAUGACUGCUGUUGAGCAGUAUGGACUGCCGUCAAGGGUACGGUCUGAUAAAGGGGGAGAGAAUGCAGAUGUCGCAGAAUUUAUGAUCAGAAGUAGAGGUACUGACAGGAAUUCACACAUCACUGGAUGAAGUGUCCA